AUUCCAGCUCCAAUAGCGUAUAUUAAUGUUGUUGCAGUUAAAAAGCUCGUAGUUGGAUUUCUGGUCGGAACGCCGGUCCGGCUCCGCAAGGGGUCGUGUAUUGGUUUCUCCUGCCAUCCUCAGGGGGAGCUGCGCUGGUAUUCAUUUAUCGGCGUGGUUACGCCUGUCGUUUACUGUGAACAAAUUAGAGUGUUCAAAGCAAGGUGUACUUGAAUACAUUAGCAUGGAAUAAUAAGAUAGGACUUUGGUGGUUCUUUUUGAUAUUUUGUUGGUUUGCACGCCAAAGUAAUGAUUAAUAGGAGCAGUUGGGGGUAUUCGUAUUCAAUUGUCAGAGGUGAAAUUCUUGGAUUUAUAGAAGACGAACUACUGCGAAAGCAUUUACCAAGGAUGUUUUCAUUG
rnacentral:rRNA from 1 species